rnacentral:lncRNA from 1 species
CUAAGGCUAGUGUUUUUUUUUCAAAUAUUAGUAUCUUUUCUUCGUUAUUGGUAUUGAUAUAAAUUAACUAUAAACAAAUUUUCGCUGUAAACAACCAUUGGAGUUGGAUAGAAUAUAGCCAUUCGUCUUACUUGGAAAAUUAAUAUAAGAAUUCUUUUUCUAUAUAUUUCAGAUCUAAUUUAAUCGGCGUAAACAAUAAGGGCUACAGUACUUUGGAUGGGCAAAUAGAAAAUUGAGAUUGCUAUGAGCAUAACUCCUCAAAUGACAUUAUUUCUUCCAAUUUUCAUGAAUUAUUUAUGUACAAAAAGAAUAUAGAACAAAUAUUUUUCGCUAAAUCGAAAAGGAAAUGGCAAAUAUCUAACGUUCGCCAACUCAACGCGUAAUUAUAUUCUCACAUAGUGUAACGAAACAAUUCAUUCUAAGAUACUAAUCUAACUUACAUUAUUGACAUAUGCUUUCUAAUAAAAUUUUACAAACAUAAAAUGAUAUAUAAUACAUCUCUUGUCUCAUCUCUUGUAUAAAGGAGACAAUAUCAUAUUCAAUAGAAUUGAGCUUAAAUCUUUGUCAUCUUUAUGAUGAUAUUUUAUAAUAACGUUCUUCGUAUGUGCAUCUCUUGUCUCAUCUCUUGGUCUUCUUUGCAUAGUCCAUCUAAUUUGCAUAGGGCAUCUAUGACAAUUCUUAUAUAUUAUAAGAGCACAACUUUUUAUACAGAGAAACCGCGAUCGAAAACCGCUUUAAUUCAACAAACACCAGCAAUCACCAGCAUCAAGUUUUAUCACAUCCUUAAACACAAACCAGAAGCUGAAACAACCCACAUCCUUGAACCCUACUUUAGAAAUCCGUAACAGUAUAGGAUGGUGAAGAAAACAUGAGACAGCCAUUAUGUUUGGAGAAAGAAAAACAAGAAAUUAAGAACCUUAAAAACGAAUGAUUCGGUGAAAUAGGGAUGAUGUGAAAAGAGGCAGAGGAUAAAGAGAAUAUAAAUAGACGUUUGGAGAAGCUAGGGUUUCCUAGAUCUGAUUUUUGUGAAAUGACAG